rnacentral:rRNA from 1 species
GACGAACGCUGGCGGCGUGCUUAACACAUGCAAGUCGAACGGAAAGGCCCUGCUUUUGUGGGGUGCUCGAGUGGCGAACGGGUGAGUAACACGUGAGUAACCUGCCCUUGACUUUGGGAUAACUUCAGGAAACUGGGGCUAAUACCGGAUAGGAGCUCCUGCUGCAUGGUGGGGGUUGGAAAGUUUCGGCGGUUGGGGAUGGACUCGCGGCUUAUCAGCUUGUUGGUGGGGUAGUGGCUUACCAAGGCUUUGACGGGUAGCCGGCCUGAGAGGGUGACCGGCCACAUUGGGACUGAGGUACGGCCCAGGCUCCUACGGGAGGCAGCAGGGGGGAAUAUUGGACAAUGGGCGGAAGCCUGAUGCAGCAACGCCGCGUGCGGGAUGACGGCCUUCGGGGUGUAAACCGCUUUCGCCUGUGACGAAGCGUGAGUGACGGUAAUGGGUAAAGAAGCACCGGCUAACUACGUG